rnacentral:rRNA from 1 species
AGGGAAGGAGUGGGGCAGGCCUAACACAUGCAAGUCGAGCGGAUGAAGGGAGCUUGCUCCUGGAUUCAGCGGCGGACGGGUGAGUAAUGCCUAGGAAUCUGCCUGGCAGUGGGGGAUAACGUCCGGAAACGGGCGCUAAUACCGCAUACGUCCUGAGGGAGAAAGUGGGGGAUCUUCGGACCUCACGCUAUCAGAUGAGCCUAGGUCGGAUUAGCUAGUUGGUGGGGUAAAGGCCUACCAAGGCGACGAUCCGUAACUGGUCUGAGAGGAUGAUCAGUCACACUGGAACUGAGACACGGUCCAGACUCCUACGGGAGGCAGCAGUGGGGAAUAUUGGACAAUGGGCGAAAGCCUGAUCCAGCCAUGCCGCGUGUGUGAAGAAGGUCUUCGGAUUGUAAAGCACUUUAAGUUGGGAGGAAGGGCAGUAAGUUAAUACCUUGCUGUUUUGACGUUACCAACAGAAUAAGCACCGGCUAACUUCGUG